rnacentral:RNase_P_RNA from 1 species
GGAGUCGGCCGGACAGUCGCGUCAUCGCUUGCGAUGCCGAGGAAAGUCCGGGCUCCACAGGGCACGGUGCCAGGUAAUGCCUGGGCGGCGCGAGCCGACGGAAAGUGCAACAGAAAGAUACCGCCGAUGGCCGGGCGUCCUUCGGGGCGAGCGGAUCAGGCAAGGGUGAAAUGGUGCGGUAAGAGCGCACCGCGAGUCUGGCAACAGACCGGCACGGCAAACCCCACCGGGAGCAAGACCAAAUAGGGACCUCAUGACGUGGCCCGCGUCGGGUCCGGGUAGGUUGCUCGAGCGUAUCGGUGACGAUGCGCCUAGAGGAAUGACUGUCCACGACAGAACCCGGCUUACAGGCCGGCUCCGCCA